rnacentral:rRNA from 1 species
UACGGAGGGAGCUAGCGUUGUUCGGAAUUACUGGGCGUAAAGCGCACGUAGGCGGCUACUCAAGUCGGGGGUGAAAGCCCGGGGCUCAACCCCGGAACUGCCCUCGAAACUAGGUAGCUAGAAUCUUGGAGAGGUCAGUGGAAUUCCGAGUGUAGAGGUGAAAUUCGUAGAUAUUCGGAAGAACACCAGUGGCGAAGGCGGCUCACUGGCCCGUUACCGACGCUCAGGCGCGACAGCGUGGGGAGCAAACAGG